AUGCUCCGCCAGAUCGUCAGCCAGGCUAAGAAAUCCCCCUCUUCGUGUUUAUUGGCGCUGGAGGUACAGGAGCAGCACAGUAUAUGAUGCGUCUGGCAUUGUUCAAUCCAGAUGUCAGUUGGGACAGGAAGAAUAACCCAGAACCCUGGAACAAAGUGGGUCCCAAUGAUCAAUACAAGUUCUACUCAGUGAAUGUGGACUACAGCAAACUGAAGAAAGAAGGCCCAGACUUCUAAGUCAAAUGCCUCACUAUAAAGCUGCUUAAAAUGAAGGUCUUUCAGAAG